GAUGAAGAACGUAGCGAAAUGCGAUAAGUAGUGUGAAUUGCAGAAUUCAGUGAAUCAUCGAAUCUUUGAACGCACAUUGCGCCCUUUGGUAUUCCAAAGGGCAUGCCUGUUCGAGCGUCAUUUGUACCCUCAAGCUUUGCUUGGUGUUGGCGUCUUGUCUCUAGCUUUGCUGGAGACUCGCCUUAAAGUAAUUGGCAGCCGGCCUACUGGUUUCGGAGCGCAGCACAAGUCGCACUCUCUAUCAGCAAAGGUCUAGCAUCCAUUAAGCCUUUUUUUCAACUUUUGACCUCGGAUCAGGUAGGGAUACCCGCUGAACUUAAGCAUAUCAAUAAGCGGAGGA
rnacentral:misc_RNA from 1 species